rnacentral:rRNA from 1 species
CCCAGACUCCUACGGGAGGCAGCAGUGGGGAAUAUUGCACAAUGGGGGAAACCCUGAUGCAGCGACGCCGCGUGAGUGAAGAAGUAUUUCGGUAUGUAAAGCUCUAUCAGCAGGGAAGAAAUAGCGACCUUUGGGUCGCCAGACGGUACCUGAAGAAGAAGCCCCGGCUAACUACGUGCCAGCAGCCGCGGCAAUACGUAGGGGGCAAGCGUUAUCCGGAUUUACUGGGUGUAAAGGGGGCGCAGACGGCGAUGCAAGCCAGGAGUGAAAGCCCGGGGCCCAACCCCGGGACUGCUCUUGGAACUGCGUGGCUGGAGUGCAGGAGGGGCAGGCGGAAUUCCUGGUGUAGCGGUGAAAUGCGUAGAUAUCAGGAGGAACACCGGUGGCGAAGGCGGCCUGCUGGACUGCAACUGACGUUGAGGCCCGAAAGCGUGGGGAGCAAACAGGAUUAGAUACCCGCGUAC